CACAGAGUGUGGGUAAUUAUGUCAAAUGUCACUGGCAAUGUGCAUUCAGCUGAUUGCAACUGUUAAAGCAAGUCACUGAGCAUGCGUACAUGUCAUACGGGAGAGUUCCAAUCAGGGGUGGAUAACACCUUAUAGGAAAGCCCUAUAUGUAUACACGCGUGUGUGCGCGAGUGCGUGUUCGUGUGAAUAUUUAGAAAGCUACGCAGAGCAACGCGUAUGGAUGAAGUAACUUUUUGCAACCCACCUAUGGAUAGUGAUAUUAUUAAUUUGGUUAGGCUGCAACCGGUAAAGUUUGUCGAUGUUUCCUGUCAACUAAAUCGACCAUAUACUUCCGUACUUUUGAAUUUGUUUGAAAUAAAAAAUUCCUUACAUAAAAGAGAUAAGCGUUGAGACAGGAAAAGAAUCUGGCCAUAAAAAUCCCAGCCCAUGAAUUUACUCUCGUCGAAGUCGUUAAACAAAACAAACGAAGGAAAAGUGUAUAUGCUUGCUUUCCAGCUCGUAGAGAAUCAUCGAAUGCAAACAUGUCUUGGCAAAAACUUUCAGCCCUUGGUUUAGUAAAUAAUCAUUGCUCAUUAUCAUCAAAAUAUUGAUUUCAAAUUUAGAAGGGGCUAAGUCGAUUACAUCGACCCCAGUGUUCAACAGAUACCUAUUUUAUUGACUCCCGAAAGGAUGAAAAUCGAAAUCUACCCCGGCAGAAUUUGAACUCAGAACAUAAGGACAGACGAAAGGCCGCUAAGAAUUUUACCCGGCAUGCAAAAGAUUCUGCCAUCUUACUACGCUGAGCUGUUUUUGUGAGCCAUUUGUACACCUCGACUGGAUAACACUACGUAAUCCUUGCAUAUACCCGACGUUGUUUCAAUAUAGAUGCAAUGUCUUUGGUUACCUCAAGAAAUAUGAAGCAUAAACGACAACAAAUAUGCAAAUAGUAUCUUCACCAAAGGGGUGGGGAAUAGAAGACGAAAAAUGUUAUAAAAACAAACAUAGGAACAGAAUAUGUUUACUAUGAAGAAUAUUUAAUAUUUGUUGGGGUUAUUUUGCUGCACACUGAAGGAUACACCGCCAUCAAAACAAUCCUUGUAACAUUUAAAACAUCAGGCAGAAUGACGACAGUUACACUGCUUAUGUAAUGCUUUUUGUGUUCUGUGUUUUGCUUCAAAGAAGACUACAGUUUAAAUAUUCUUCGCAUCAAAUCUUCUCAGUCUAGCGUUCUAGACAAACAUUCAAAAUCGUUUUCUGUGCUGGUGAUUCAAUUAGAAGAACAAUAUAAGAUCUGCUGAAAAAACCCGAACCAUAUCAUUUGUGUCUUUUUAAAGAAGCCGAGAGUGAUUUGAGGAGAUUCAUCUACUACUUCUAGCAGGAUUAUCUGGGACAACAAGAGUAAAACCAAAAGAAGGCCUUGCUGCACAUUGAAGGUUGACAAUUUGAUGACUGAUUCUUUUGACUUCAGUUUCAACACUGUAAUCCUCACAUCUCCUCCAACCGCCACUUCUGCUCUAUAAAGCAUAUUGAUAUCAUCAACCAGGUCACUUUCUGGAAUCGAACUCGGAAUCCUGGGGUUAAUAGCCCACGCUCUUAACCACUACGCCAUAUGCCCAAGGGCAUAUGGCAGUGAACUGAAUAAUAAUAAUAGGUGGCUGGAUGUGUUCUUCGCUGCUCUAACCUGUCAGCAGCUGAAGACACAGAAACACUAAUACAACCCAGCAGGACAACUAAAAAAAUAACUCUAAAAGACUGGAAUAUCUACAGUUUCCUAAUUCAGUUGAAUGAAUCCUUUUUCUAGAGAGUUCUACAUUUGUCACAAGUCAACAGAGCUGGAGCAUAACCCCAUUUCCUUUCCAUCAAAAGAGCAAUAUUCUUCCUUCCCUUGAAUGGAACAGGUCUGACCCCAGUUGUUGCUGGGACUUAUUUUCAAGCAAAGCAAAGCAAAGCAACAUGAAAUGAAGUAUUUGAAAAAAAAAAGAUUAAACAAAGAUAAUAAAAAAAGACAAAACAAAAGGCUUCUUUGUUGAAUAGUUGAGAAGGUCCUCAAUAAGACGAGUGCUGACAUUAGUUAAAAUAUUGAGUUUUAGUAUGGCUACAGUUGAAUCAAAAACUAUUUAUCUUCUGUUCGUUGAGGUCAGUGGGGAAUUUGAUCGAGUGAAUUGCAAACACUUGAGGAAACUACUUAAACAUUAUGUAUAUUCAUCAUAGUUAAUAAUAUUUAUGAAGAAUCUUCACAAUGCUGUGGCCUAACUGUCCACGUGUAGCAGCUGCUUCUGUAAGUUUUCCUGUUCUACAUGCUGAUCAAUAAAUUAAAUUGGCUUCAUUAAUUGAAAUAUGAGAUCCGUUCAAAAAGAAACCAUACUUUUAAAACAACAUGUCAGCCAACCAAUGCAGGGUUCUUGUGACUAUGAUGCUGUGUGCAGCUGACCUUGGUUUUUCAGUGAAAUGAUAAGCCACACCAGGCAGCCAUUGAUCUACAGGUGCUAGAGUGAAGGUAUGUCUAAUGCAUUUGGCUAUUUGCUUCAAGUUGAACAAUGAGGAAAAAUGUAUCAAACGAGGAAGAAUUUUAUGAUGCCUAUUCUAAUAAUAAUGCAAUAAACCAAUGGGGAUGAUUAUUUGAGCUGUGUAUAAGGUCGCAUAUGAUAUCGACAUUUCAAACUGAGAAGGACAUCAGAACAAUAGGCACAGCAGUGGCUGUGUGAUAAGUAGCUUCCUUACCAACCACAUGGUCCCGGGUUCAGUCCCACUGCGUGGCAGCUUGGGCAAGUGUCUUCUACUAUAGCCUUGGGCCGACCAAAGUCUUGUGAGUGGAUUUGGUAGAUGGAAAUUGAAAGAAGCCCAUCAUAUAUGUGUAUAUAUAUGUGUGUGUGUGUGUUUGUCCCCCCAACAUCGCUUGACAACCAAUGCUGGUGUGUUUAUGUGCCCCAUAACUUAGUUGUACUAACUCUUCUGACCUUGAAGCUGAAAGGCAAACACAGUCUGCCACUAAGGGUUUUGGCUCUCUUGCAAAGCAUCUAUGGAGCUGCCGUGAUGUUGCCUGCAACACAAAGAUAUAGGUGUACAGUGUCACAGUGCUCCUUUACUUCCUUUAUGCCACAGAAUGCAUGGCCCUCUACUACAGCAACAUCAAGGCCCUGAUACAAAUCCAACUUCAUCAUCUGCACUCCAGCUUCAUAUCAGGUGGUGGGAUCACAUUCCUGAUGUAAAGGUCCUGAUGUCACACUAGCAUAGUUUGUGUGGAAGUCCUCAUUACCUCAUUGCAGCAGUGCAGGGCAGGGCAUGUUUGCAGGAUGGAGGGCGGUAGGUUCCCAAAGGCAGUUUUCUAUGUUGUGCUAUUUUAGGGCAGGAAUAACUAAUGGUAGCCAGAGGUUGUGAUGCAGGGAUGUGCUGAAGAGACAUAUGAAGAACUCUGACAUCUCCUCAGACUCCUGGGAAGAGAAGGCCCUGUGGCAUGAGGAAUGGCACCAACUGCUGAAGCUCGUGAUUCUGUCCACUGAGGAGAAGCAACAGAGAGAAUAUGAAAGAGCACAUGAGAGACGUUACUUCUCCGUUGCAUUAAGUAGUUUCACCUGCUGCAGAUUAAGAGCAGGCCUUGUGGCCCUGCUACAGAUAAUUUCUGAACAGUGCAGACAACGUCAACCUAUCAAUGAGAGCAUAAACAAAACACAUACAGCAAGUA